rnacentral:lncRNA from 1 species
AAAAACACCAUGGGAGGUCUAAAAGCUGCUGGUUUUUCAUACAUUGACAUAUGUGAGUUCAAUUCUUGCCCUUUUCUUUGAGAUUUUUAUGUUUUUGUGACUUUUACAAUUAGGUCCAAGUGUUUAAUUCAUUAGUUUUUGAUUUUAUGGACAAAAUUAAAAGCUAUCAUUGAUAAGUGUUGGCUGUUUAUGAUGAAAUAAAAUGAAUUUUAAGCUUUGAUUUUGUUGUUUGAUGAUUUUAUCAAGUAAAUUCAAUAGAAAUUGAUUUUAGGACCUAAUUGUGAAAAAGUUGUGAAUUAAGGUUUAGUGUUACAAUUCUGAUUUUCAAAGGUUGUGUAAUAGUUUAGAAUGAUGGAAUAAAAUGUUAAUUGAGAAAAAUUAGCUUAAUAUAUGGGCUAAUUGAGCAAGGACUGAAUUGUAUGACCUGUGAAAUUUAGAGGAAAAAUGGUAAUAAACAUCUUGAACUAAAACAGCUUUGGACAGCAGCAGUAGGGGAACUUUGAAAAAUCACCAUAAAUUGUAAAAAUCGAAUUAGAGGAUGAAUAAUAUAUGAAAUUAAAGCUUAUUGAGUCUAGUUUCUCAUAGAAGAAACAAUGUAAGAAAUUGAAUUGUAAAUUAUGAGAUAUAAUGAAUUUUGUGAGACAAGGUCAGGAUGAAUUCGGGUUCCCCUAUUUUGACUUUGGAAAAUCACCAAAAAUUGGAUAAAAUUAAUUAGAGGCUAAAAUUUAUACGCUUAGAAUCCUUAAUGAGUCUAUUUUCAAUAUAAAUCAACGAGAACAUUAUCCGAGUUCUGUACUAUGAUAUAAUUAAUUUUUAGUGAAGAGAGGUUAGAACUGUCGAAUAGUGAAACAGGGGAAACUUAAAUAAAUAAACUGUACUAAUUGGAUAAAUCAAAAAUUUUGAAAAUUUUAUGGUGGAAUGAUAUGUGAGUCUAGUUUCAGGGAAAAUUUACGGAUCUUAAUUUGGAGCUCUGUAGCUCGAAUUAUAAAUAAUUGAGUGACUAUGACUCGUGUGAACAGUUUGAUGUGAGCAUUAAUAAGUAAAUUGUGAAAUCGUACUUAUAAGAAUGUUAUAUACAUUAAGGUUGUGGAAUGAAGAGGAGGAGGAGGAAAAUAAAUGAUAUAUUUUUAUAAGAAAACAGUAUGAGAACGAUACAUAUCAUGACAUGUAUAUAUAUGAAUAGUUUCAAUAUGAUGCUUGUUGGGUAUGAAGUUGAAUUGAAAUGUCUAAGGCAAGUAUUUUAUUCUGCGUAUCUGAAAUGUGGUAUUUUAUAAAAAUAUGAUAUAGCUUUAAAUAUGAAUGCUUGAUGAUUAAGCGAAAAAUUUUAUGAGAAAUCAGUUGAGUUCCGACUUGAUUUUAAUGUUCAUGUUGGGCUUCGAGGGCCCAAAUAAAUGUUAUUAUAUAUAUAUAUGAUCUCAGAAAGUGAAUAGUAAUGUUUUGAUUAAUCUGUAAAUGUUCUGUAUGUACUGGUAACUUAUAACACUCUGUAACCCUGUUUUGAUGACGGAUACGGGUUAGGGUGUUACAGUUGCUAUAGGGAACCACAGUAUAGCUCUAACUUGUCCAAAAUGUCUAGUUGUGGAUUCAACUAACCAAAAUAAAAAAAGAAUUGAAGACCGUCAUAGCUGACAAAGAAAACCUCAUCUCGUUGGGGAAAGGCAUCAUGAAUGAAAAAACUUGGUUCAGCUCUGUUGAAGUUGGCCUGCAUGCAGCACAUGAAGCAGCUAAAGAGCAGACAAUGCAGCCCGAGCCAUGAAGUUGCAGUUGAAGAUGAAGCUGCAGUUUUGUUUUGUUACUUCAAGCACUAGUUUAGUUACUUAGUUCAAAAUGAACUUAGU